rnacentral:lncRNA from 10 species
UUCAGUGGAGCUGAAAUGACUGUGGCUCUAGUUAUUUUUUUCCCUUAAUCAUUCUUUUUCUUUCUUUUUUGCAGGAGAACAUUUUCACGAAGCACAAUCACAGAAGAACAGAAUGUCCUGAUGUUUGGAAGCUGACCACAGGGAAUGUCAGGAUGCCAAAAAUCUCCUUUGGGACAUUAGAUAUGCCUUGAAUUUCACCACUACAAGUUCUACCAUCAGGGAAAACCACUAACAUCUCUGGCCCUGUUUAAACAAGGAACCAGAGUUUCUUGAAGAAAUGUCUGAGUCCAGAUUCAUGGAAGGAAAUAUACAAGUCUGGAAAGUCUUGUUAUACCAGAAAACAGGCAGAGGAUGGGCUGUACACAGCAUGCCUAGCACAGAGCCUGCUGCAUAGAGGAUCUUCAAUAAAUGUGUGUCUCUGCUCUCUACAAGGUUAAUGAACCACAACAUAAGGAAGAAAAGGAGUAGUCAACCUGCCUAUACUGGUGGAUGAGAUGCAACUUACAUAAUAAAAAUGGAAGCAUUUCAGGCAAUAUGACAGAGCCAUGUGUAGAUGA